GUGAACUAGUUUAUGUUUUAUGUAGAUCGCGGACUUGUCCGAUUAUGCAAAUUAGUUCGCUACGCGUGUUGCACAUGAUUUUGCGGAUGAAUGAUUUAUUGUGUGAUACGCCGCCCAUGUUAAUGUGUUAACAUACAUGUUAGUAUUGAAUCACAUUCAUGUCACGUUCAAUUGCGGAGAGGACGUUGUUGCUGUGCCUGUAGCUGUGUAUUACAGAGUCACGCGGUUUCCUUGUUUUAGCGAGGGUUUUGGUUCAACUGUUUGGCAGUAUUUUCGAGGGCAAGAUCAGGACUUGCAUGUUGCAGCUUCUGUUGCUGAGCUGAGCUGAGUUGAUUGCUGGUAGUUUCUUGGUGUCUCCCUUUUCCCCUUCACUUCCUUCUCCACUGUAGUUGAGAGCUUCAGUGGUUUAUUGCUGAAGACUUUGGGGUUUUUUCCCGUUUCUGCGUGCAUGAAUCACCGAGAAUCAACGGUUUAUGAAUUAAAGCACCGGUUACGCUAA
rnacentral:lncRNA from 1 species